rnacentral:lncRNA from 1 species
CAGCAUGUCUCCCACAUAGUCUGCAAUAUGGAGGGCAGCACUCAGCAUGUCUCCCCCAUAGUCGGCAAUAUGGAGGGCAGCUCUCAGCAUGUCUCCCACAAAGUCUGUAAUGUGGAGGGCAGCUCUCAGCAUGUCUCCCACAUAGUCUCCCAUGUGGAGGGCAGCUCUUAGCAUGUUCCCACAUAGUAUCCAAUAUGGAUGGCAGCUCUUAGCAUGUCUCCCAUGUAGUCUGUAAUGUCGAGGGCAGCUCUCAGCAUGUCUCCCACAAAGUCUGUAAUAUGAGGGCAGCUCUCUGGAUUUCUACCACAGUCUCCAAUAAGGAGGGCAGCUCUCAGCAUGUCUCCCACAUAGUCUGUAAUAUGGAGGGCAGCUCUCAGCAUGUCUCCCACAUAGUCUGUAAUAUGCAGGGCAGCUCUCAGCAUGUCUCCGACAUAGUCUCAAAUAUGGAGGGCAGCUCUCAGCAUGUCUCCCACAUAGUCUGGAAAUUGGAGGGCAGUUCUCAGCACUUCUCCAUAAUAGUCUGUAAUAUGGAGGGCAGCUCUCAGCAUGUCUCCCACAUAGUCUGUAAUAUGGAGGGCAGCUCUCAGUAUGUCUCCCCUAUAGUCUAUAAUAUGGAGGGCAGCUCUCAGCAUGUCUCCCACAUAGUCUGUAAUAUGGAGGGCAGCUCUCAGCAUGUCUCCCACAUAGUCUGUAAUAUGAAGGGCAGCUCUCAGCAUGUCUCCCACAAAGUCUCUAAUAUGGAGGGCAGCUCUCAUCAUGUCUCCCACAUAGUCUCCAAUAUGGAGGGCAGCUCUCAGCAUGUCUCCCACAUAGUCUGUAAUAUGGAGGGCAGCUCACAGCAUGUCUCCCUCAUAGUCUGUAAUAUGGAGGGCAGCUCUCAGCAUGUCUCCCACAUAGUUUCCAAUAUGGGGGGCAGCUCUCAGCUUGUCUCCCACAUAGUAUGUAAUAUGGAUGGUAGCUCUCAGCAUAGUCUCCCACAUAGUGUCAGGAUUUGGCCAGGGUUGUUCCGGUUUUUGGUCACUAGAUGCCCCCAUUGUGCUUUUUGA